UUCUCCUUAGCAACGGGAAUGUUGAAGCGGUUGCUAAGGGGGAUGAAGGAGAUGCCCUGGGGAAGGCCGCAUAUGGCAGAGACAGGAGACAACGGCAUUUCUUAGCAACAGCCAAAGAACCAACAUCACAAAGGAUCUAAGCUUCCCGAGCACAGGGAAGGGCUGUUUUUUCCACAGCCACAACCAAGAGAAAUGGAUUUGGAUUUUCUGGGAGGAAACGGCAAUUAUCCACCUCAAUUUGUCGUGGACAUUCCUAGUAUUGAGGACCUGGAAGAAAGCCUGAGAAAACUUAAGGUCCAAGUGGACAACCUGGCCUCCAGUCUGAAUUUCCACCCAA